GACGAACGCUGGCGGCAGGCCUAACACAUGCAAGUCGAGCGGAGCGGGGGACGGGUGAGUAAUACCUACGAAUCUGCCUGGCAGUGGGGGAUAACGUUCGGAAACGGACGCUAAUACCGCAUACUAUCAGAUGAGCCUAGGUCGGAUUAGCUAGUUGGUGAGGUAAUGGCUCACCAAGGCUACGAUCCGGAACUGGUCUGAGAGGAGGAUCAGCCACACUGGAACUGAGACACGGUCCAGACUCCUACGGGAGGCAGCAGUGGGGAAUAUUGGACAAUGGGCGAAAGCCUGAUACAGCCAUGCCGCGUGUGUGAAGAAGGUCUUCGGAUUGUAAAGCACUUUAAGUUGGGAGGCGUUACCGACAGAAUAAGCACCGGCUAACUACGUGCCAGCAGCCGCGGUAAUUC
rnacentral:rRNA from 1 species